ACAGCAGCCGCCACGGUAAUACAGAGGGUGCGAGCGUUAAUCGGAUUUACUGGGCGUAAAGCGUGCGUAGGCGGCUUCUUAAGUCGGAUGUGAAAUCCCUGAGCUUAACUUAGGAAUUGCAUUCGAUACUGGGAAGCUAGAGUAUGGGAGAGGAUGGUAGAAUUCCAGGUGUAGCGGUGAAAUGCGUAGAGAUCUGGAGGAAUACCGAUGGCGAAGGCAGCCAUCUGGCCUAAUACUGACGCUGAGGUACGAAAGCAUGGGGAGCAAACAGGAUUAGAUACCCCGGUAGUCCCUGUCUCUUAUAC
rnacentral:rRNA from 1 species